rnacentral:rRNA from 1 species
CUACGGGUGGCUCCAGUGGGGAAUAUUGGACAAUGGGGGCAACCCUGAUGCAGCAACGCCGCGUGGAGGAUGACACAUUUCGGUGUGUAAACUCCUUUUAUAUGUCAAGAAAAUGACGGUAGCAUAUGAAUAAGCACCGGCUAACUCCGUGCCAGCAGCCGCGGUAAUACGGAGGGUGCAAGCGUUACUCGGAAUCACUGGGCGUAAAGGACGCGUAGGCGGGUUGGAAAGUCAGGUGUGAAAUCCUACAGCUUAACUGUAGAACUGCACUUGAAACUUCUAAUCUAGAGUAUGGGAGGGGGAGAUGGAAUUAGUGGUGUAGGGGUAAAAUCCGUAGAUAUCACUAGGAAUACCUAAAGCGAAGGCGAUCUCCUGGAACAUUACUGACGCUAAGGCGUGAAAGCGUGGGGAGCAAACAGGAUUAGAUACCCUCGUAGUC